UCCUACGGGGGGCAGCAGUGAGGAAUAUUGGUCAAUGGGCGCAAGCCUGAACCAGCCAUGCCGCGUGCAGGAUGACGGUCCUAUGGAUUGUAAACUGCUUUUAUACGAGAAGAAACACUCCUUCGUGAAGGAGCUUGACGGUAUCGUAAGAAUAAGGAUCGGCUAACUCCGUGCCAGCAGCCGCGGUAAUACGGAGGAUCCAAGCGUUAUCCGGAAUCAUUGGGUUUAAAGGGUCCGUAGGCGGUUAGAUAAGUCAGUGGUGAAAGCCCAUCGCUCAACGGUGGAACGGCCAUUGAUACUGUUUAACUUGAAUUAUUAGGAAGUAACUAGAAUAUGUAGUGUAGCGGUGAAAUGCUUAGAGAUUACAUGGAAUACCAAUUGCGAAGGCAGGUUACUACUAAUGGAUUGACGCUGAUGGACGAAAGCGUGGGUAGCGAACAGGAUUAGAUACCCCAGUAC
rnacentral:rRNA from 1 species